rnacentral:rRNA from 1 species
CCUACGGGCGGCUGCAGUGGGGAAUAUUGCACAAUGGGGGAAACCCUGAUGCAGCAACGCCGCGUGAGUGAAGAAGGAUUUCGGUAUGUAAAGCUCUAUCAGCAGGGAAGAAGAAAGUGACGGUACCUUAGGAAUAAGCCUCGGCCAACUACGUGCCAGCAGCCGUGGUAAUACGUAGGAGGCAGGCGUUAUCCGGAAGGAAUGGGCGUAAAGGGUGCGUAGGUGGUUUGGCAAGUGAGUAGAGCAACUCCGGGGCUCAACUACGGAACUACUACGAACACUGGUGGACUUGAGUGCAGGGAGGGCAAGCGGAAUUCCUAGUGUAGCGGUGGAAUGCGUAGAUAUUAGGAGGAACACCAGUGGCGAAGGCGGAAUGCUAGACUGUAACUGACGCUGAGGCACGAAGGCGUGGGUAGCAAACAGGAUUAGAUACCCGUGUAGUC